GACGAACGCUGGCGGCGUGCUUAACACAUGCAAGUCGAACGGAAAGGCCCUGCUUUUGUGGGGUGCUCGAGUGGCGAACGGGUGAGUAACACGUGAGUAACCUGCCCUUGACUUUGGGAUAACUUCAGGAAACUGGGGCUAAUACCGGAUAGGAGCUCCUGCUGCAUGGUGGGGGUUGGAAAGUUUCGGCGGUUGGGGAUGGACUCGCGGCUUAUCAGCUUGUUGGUGGGGUAGGGGCUUACCAAGGCUUUGACGGGUAGCCGGCCUGAGAGGGUGACCGGCCACAUUGGGACUGAGAUACGGCCCAGACUCCUACGGGAGGCAGCAGUGGGGAAUAUGGCACAGUGGGCGGAAGCCUGAUGCAGCAACGCCGCGUGCGGGAUGACGGCCUUCGGGUUGUAAACCGCUUUCGCCUGUGACGAAGCGUGAGUGACGGUAAUGGGUAAAGAAGCACCGGCUAACUACGUG
rnacentral:rRNA from 1 species